AGCGGCGGACGGGUGAGUAACGCGUGGGGAACCUGCCCUAUACAGGGGGAUAACAGUUAGAAAUGACUGCUAAUACCGCAUAAGCGCACGGAGCCGCAUGGCCCUGAGUGAAAAACGAUAGUGGUAUAGGAGGGACCCGCGUCUGAUUAGGUAGUUGGUGGGGUAACGGCCCACCAAGCCGACGAUCAGUAGCCGACCUGAGAGGGUGACCGGCCACAUUGGGACUGAGACACGGCCCAAACUCCUACGGAAGGCAGCA
rnacentral:rRNA from 1 species